GUGCCAGCAGCCGCGGUAAUACGGAGGGUGCAAGCGUUAAUCGGAUGUACUGGGCGUAAAGCGUACGUAGGCGGCUUUUUAAGUCGGAUGUGAAAUCCCUGAGCUUAACUUAGGAAUUGCAUUCGAUACUGGGAAGCUAGAGUAUGGGAGAGGAUGGUAGAAUUCCAGGUGUAGCGGUGAAAUGCGUAGAGAUCUGGAGGAAUACCGAUGGCGAAGGCAGCCAUCUGGCCUAAUACUGACGCUGAGGUACGAAAGCAUGGGGAGCAAACAG
rnacentral:rRNA from 1 species